GCCUGGCUGGCUCAGUUGGUAGAGCAUGUGACUUUUAUCUCCAGGUUGUGGAUUUAAGUCCCACAUUGGGUA
rnacentral:tRNA from 1 species